GUUCAACACUGGUUCUGUUACGAUCACCGAAGUUAAGCAACGUCGAACCUGGUCAGUAUCUAGAUAGGUGACUGCUUGGGAAUACCAGGUGCUGUAA